UUGAAAAUUUACAGUCUGUGCGAAAAGAAACAGAUUAGUCCUGCCUUUGCCCCAGUUCUGUAACUUGGCCAUGAGAAUUGAUAACAAACUUCCUGGACUGAAAUUGUUUACAGUUUCUCUCAAAGAUAAGAGCUGUUAUAAAUUUCUACAACAUUUAAUUCAAUAAAACUGUCUCUACUUGUGGGAAAAAUCUGUAACUAGUGGGCUACACUUUGCCAUGAUGAGAUUUGCUCUGUUGGGGCUUCUUGGAGUCUUCCUGCUGGUGAGCAGCUCUCUAGGGGUUCCUCUGCCGAGGGCCAUGGCAUGGCCCAACCCCACGUCUUUCAACUUCGGCAUGUUCAACCCUGGUCCUAACCCAGGCCCCAUCAGUAUCACCGGCCCUCGAAACCCUGUGCCUGACACUUUUUACUGACUCUCUUACUCUUUGGUUUGAAUUCAUUUAUUUAUUUGUAGUCUCAAAAAGUCAACAUGGAAACUUUUGUACAAACUGUGAUGGUUCAAAAAUAAAAUUUUAUUAAAUA